AAACAUUUUUGACUUCACUUUCCUCUUUCAGUACUUCACUUUUCCUUCAGCUUUCCAUUUGACAUUUCAAUACGCAUGUUUCUGAAGAACUGAGGUGAAAUGAGGUGAAGAUAGCUAAGGAACUGGUUCUUUUAUCUGAUACAAUCUGAAGAGUCGAAGAACUGAGCUGAAGAGUUGAAGUCUUCGAAGAAUUGGUAUAUCAAGUUGUCUUCUCCAAAGAACGAUUCCUUGAAGAAUAAGAACCAUUCUCUUUGCUGAAACGUAUUUCGUCAAGUGGUAGUUCUAAAACAGUUUUCUUGUUAGCUGAAGUGUUUGAUUUUUCAUUUUGUGUAUAGAAGAAAUGAAUAAUGUUGGGUUGUUGACAUGAUGAUGAACUGAAUCUCAUUCGUCUCUCCGUCACACUUUUCUCUCAACUGUCUUUCUGAAGAACACGAUUUCAAAGAGAUUUUGUUGGAUUUGGGUUUAACAGGUAAGAAAUUUCAUUUUGAAAGUCUAAAUUUUAACUAUAGGGUUUUGAUAUUCUUGUGUUUUUAUACAAUUUUGGGGAGUGUGACUUGUAUUUUAGUUUCAUCAUUUUAUUUUUUGGAGGGUAGCUUGUAUAUUAACAUCCCUAUAUAAACGUCUUUUUCACUGUUAGGUACUGAAAAAAAGUUGGGAUGUAUUUGAGCAAAAACAUUUCGAGCAACUGAAGAAAAUAGUUAAUAUAUAUAUAUAUAUAUAUAUAGAUAGAUAGAUAGAUAGAUAGAUAGAUAGAUAGAUAGAGAAAGAGAGAGAAACACAUUCACGGCAGGGAGAGUCAAGUGACGAUAAGAGUAUGACAUUUUCUAACUCAUUUCACAGAUCAGUUUUCCCAAUUUUUGUUCGAGUCUGAGAUUCAGCCUGAAAUUCUCAUCCGUUGUUAGUGUUUAAGUUUCUUGGUGAAGAUCGUUUCCCUGCACUUCCCUCGUUCCAGUUUACUGCCUGAAGAAAGGUAAUGUUGUUUUCCUCAUAGUUUCCGGUGCAUAACUCUACCCUCCACUUACUCCACUUGUGUGAUUAUGUUGUGUAUGUUGUUGUAUCCCCUGACCUUACUCGUGGGGUUACACUAGUUUUUUGUUCUUGUUGCUGUAAUAAUAGUAGUGCACAUAGUUGAAUAUCACAAUCCUCUCAUUGAAGAGAACCAUCAUGUUUUGAUGUUUUGUGUUACGACAUGAGUAAUAUAUCACAAUCUACACAUUGAGACGAUCUCUUUUCUUUUAUUACAUAUAAAACAUCAGUCUAUCUUCUGGUGGGUGUUGUUAGUUCGAAAACAAAUAUUUUCCCCCUGCUUAGCCACAAAUGAUUCGGUAAAUAGGUGACUCUAUGGUCCUUCCAUUGGUAUUCAUGUUAAUUUCUGCAGAUGCAGAAGAAUUUCCUUAUUUUUAUUGUGAUUGCUGGUACUGUUGUUUGUUCAUGUUUAAGAUCUUUCUUGCUAUACUAGGUAGAUUUUGAAAUCUGUUAUACUGCUGCUUGUUUUCUUGGUUAAUAGCUAUGUUUAUGAUGUAAUCACCGAAUUGAUUAGCUUCUCAAAAUGUAUGCAUUAUCUAUAUUUGAAUUGUCGCCAUAAUCAUAUGCAUCUUCUCUAUCUUUUCAAUUAAACUCCAUGGUACCCUCCACUCUCGUUGAAUCAUGUUCUUGACAGUUAGAGAUUUAGUAUCUAAAAUGACAUUGGUGAUCCCACACCUCUUGCAGUAAAUUAGUUCUUUCAAAAUUGCUGUGAUUUCAGCUUCCAUGUUUGUCAUGUUACCUAUGCUUUGUGUUUCUGCAUAUAGUAGAUCUCCUUGGCUUCCUAUUACAAAAAAUCCAUAAGGUAUCUCUUUUGGGUUGCCUUUGCUAGUGCCAUCCGUUUUACACUUUACCCAACCUUCCCCUGGUGUAGACAACUUUACGAUGUGAUUGUAAAGAUUUGGUUUAUACUACUGAAGUAAAUCAAACAUCCCUUACCAAUGGUAAGGAAUAGCUCGUAACCAUGGAUAUUUGGCUCUUAUGAAGUGAGAAGAGCACUCCUUGGCAAAGAGGGAGGGAAUUCAAGGUAAAAAUCCCAGCCAAAUUAACCUGACAGAAUAAACAUGACAUAGUUGACAUAUCAUUCAUUUGUAAUGUUGCAGUAAAAACUUCGUCAUACUUGUGCUCCCCUAACUUUCUAGAUAUCUCUUUUGUUGGAUCUGGAAGUGUCUCAAUCUUUUCAUGUAGCAAUUAUCCAUUAUUCAUGUGGUUGAGUGGAUUUGUUGAUUGGGAAUUUUCUCCAGAAACUGCAAGACCAAGCAACUGUCUCUGACUAUCAGCAAAAUCUCCGCUCAAUGUCUAUGUGAUUGCCGAUGCUGAAUUGAUGGCAUCUCUAUGAGAAAUUGCCAAUGGGAAAGAUAUCAAAGAGAUUCAAACAAAGCGAGAAGAAUGAAUCAAUGAACAAUAUUAAAGAAAAAAGGUUUGAAUGCAAACAAAUCACAAAGUCCAUUGAAGAAUCUGGAUGUUGAUAUGUAAUACCGAUCAAGUGCUGAAUUGGCCAACAAAUUCAAGAUUAAGAGAGAACAGCUUCCAAAUGAACGCAAUGAUAAAUUUAAGAAAGAGCAGGCACCAAUACCACAUAAAAGAAAGAAUUAUGAGGGUUUCGUUCCACAACAAGGAAAGACUAAAUUACUUGGGCACAAAUAAGUUAUUCAAUUGUCUUCAAGGGAAUAGCUUAGAACCUCACAUAUGAUUGCAUGGAAUAGACAAACUAAAUAGAGGUUAGUUCAGUCUGAAGAGUCCAUUCAAGAUAAAGGAAUUAAACUUCUUGUGAACUCUAGGUUCCAAACGUCAUUGAAGGAAGGUGUUACUGCUUCAGUACAGGUGACUGGAACAACACUAGGUAAUGGAAUGGUACAACAUGAUAUUAAGGAUCUACUGAACUUCAAUCAUGUGAAGAGGAAGUUGGUUCGACCAGCCACCAGUAUUGGUCAGUUUCUGGAUAAGGAACAGCAAGGUGAUGGAGUGGUACAUAACGAACUUGAUAUUUUUGAUGUACCAAAUUGCAAGCAGGUAAAGAGGAAGUCGAUCAUACCUGCUAGUACUAUUGAUCAUUUUCUAAAAAAUCAAGGGAUAAGCCUGGAUGAUGAAACUAAACGUGAUAACCAGACAACAGUUAAUGUGGAAUUUAUGCAUACUCCUAUUAUUAAUGAACACAACAAAGGAUUGGAUGAUCUUGUGGAUCAGGAAGAACUUGAUGGAGAUGAAUGUGAUGCCGAAGAGGAAAUUAACAUUGAUUGUAAUAUAAAAGGUAUGUCUUAAACCUUGUAAGAUUUCGUACUCGUUAUGAAAGAAAUAUCGUAUUUCCUGUCUAUUACAUCAAUCUAGAAAUAUCAAAGCCAAAAAAUAAGUUCGAGGACAAACAACAUGUAAGGAUAUUCACUCAAGAAAUUUGGAAGAAAGAAAGGAGGUGACAUUUGAUAAAGGACAAGCCGUGGGACCAACUAAUAAGACUGUGUCACAAUUAAGCAACUUUAUAGGAACCAUUGCAAGGAAUCCUAGACUCAUCAUCUUGAUGUACACUAUUUGGCAUGUAGUGUCAAAUGAUACUAAAAAGCGCAUGUGGGAAUAUAUCAAUUGCAAAUGUCAAAUUCCAGUAUGAGGAAAGAAGUGGGUGAUGACUGUCUUCGUGAUGCUUGGAGGCGACAUAAAAAAAAUCAAAAAGAAUUUUUUAUAAAUCUAGUACCAUUGAGGAGAUUCUAGAAAAAUGUCCUGAUGGCAUUCCAGAGAAUCAAUUCCACUAGUUUAUCGGGUAUUGGAAACACCCAACUGUUCAAGUAAGGAUAGAAUAUUGCAUUUCUACUCAUCGACAUAUUUUUUAUCAUAUCUAUUUUUUUAAUU